UUACGGCCAUACAGCAUUGAAACACCGCUUCCCGUACUAUCAUUGAGGUUAAGCAACGUCGAGCCUGGUCAGUAUCUAGAUGGGUCACCUCUUGGGAAUGUU